rnacentral:rRNA from 1 species
AAAUUGAAGAGUUUGAUCAUGGCUCAGAUUGAACGCUGGCGGCAGGCCUAACACAUGCAAGUCGAGCGGUAGCACAGAGAGCUUGCUCUCGGGUGACGAGCGGCGGACGGGUGAGUAAUGUCUGGGAAACUGCCUGAUGGAGGGGGAUAACUACUGGAAACGGUAGCUAAUACCGCAUAACGUCGCAAGACCAAAGUGGGGGACCUUCGGGCCUCAUGCCAUCAGAUGUGCCCAGAUGGGAUUAGCUAGUAGGUGGGGUAACGGCUCACCUAGGCGACGAUCCCUAGCUGGUCUGAGAGGAUGACCAGCCACACUGGAACUGAGACACGGUCCAGACUCCUACGGGAGGCAGCAGUGGGGAAUAUUGCACAAUGGGCGCAAGCCUGAUGCAGCCAUGCCGCGUGUGUGAAGAAGGCCUUCGGGUUGUAAAGCACUUUCAGCGGGGAGGAAGGCGGUGAGGUUAAUAACCUCAUCGAUUGACGUUACCCGCAGAAGAAGCACCGGCUAACUCCGUGCCAGCAGCCGCGGUAAUACGGAGGGUGCAAGCGUUAAUCGGAAUUACUGGGCGUAAAGCGCACGCAGGCGGUCUGUCAAGUCGGA